CUCAGUUGUUGCAGCUGGAAUACAAAACAACUGCAUCAAACCCCUCUGAAAGCCAGGAGAUGUAGGAGCAGCUCCUCUGGGGACUGGUGUACAUCUGCUCAGCUCCACAUGUCCUCCCUGCGUGGAAGUGCCAAGAUUUUUAGCCCAGGAACAAUAGGAACAAGUCAUUUUCCAGUCUGUCCUGGGUAAAGCAGCACAAUUAACUGCUUUACUUAACAUGCAAGUUUAUAAGUGAUCUCCAUGACACCCCUGACACGAAGAAAAUAAUGGGGUUAAACUGGCUCUCAUUACAAGCUGAUCUUUGUGCAGACUUUGGUUGGUAGAACUGGCAGAAGACGUGUAUUGCAGAAUUAAAAUUAAAAGUUAUGAGAACCAUCGCUACAUAAUGGUGAGAUCAGACGAGAAUGGGAGAAUCCACACAAGUCUUUAAUCUCCAUCAAGACAAGACAUUGUUUCUGCUUGGUUCUGCAGUUUAAAAUAAAUCCUUAAUGACACUGUCAUCGUCUCGUUUUGUGGUCUUCAUUUCCUCCUGAUUAUAAAUAAGAAUCAGGUUUCCCUUUAGCAGGACUGGGAGGCAGGGGAGUUCAAACUCUUCUGCUCACAGGGAGCAAGAGCUGCUGCUCUCACUGCAGUGUCAGAUCUUUG
rnacentral:lncRNA from 1 species